UAUCCUACGGGGCGCAGCAGUGAGGAAUAUUGGUCAAUGGGCGAGAGCCUGAACCAGCCAAGUCGCGUGAAGGAUGACGGCCCUAUGGGUUGUAAACUUCUUUUGUCAGGGAGCAAUUGGGUCCACGUGUGGGCUUAGCGAGAGUACCUUAAGAAAAAGCAUCGGCUAACUCCGUGCCAGCAGCCGCGGUAAUACGGAGGAUGCGAGCGUUAUCCGGAUUUAUUGGGUUUAAAGGGUGCGUAGGCGGACUAUCGAGUCAGCGGUAAAAAUUCGGGGCUCAACCCCGUCGUGCCGUUGAAACUGAU
rnacentral:rRNA from 1 species